rnacentral:snoRNA from 1 species
CUGCAGCCAAUUAAGCUGACUGUGCUCUUUCUCCAUGGGGGCCCAGUGUGCCAUGGCUGCAAAUAGUAGCCUCCAAAUAAAAAUCUUUAAAAAAAAUA